GGCUGUUCAGGGGGUGUGGGCUCCAGCCCGCUGCUAGUCAGAGCUGGACUUGAGCUGCGGUCCAGGGCAGUUCGUCCGUGGUGGAGCCGCAAGCUCUUCUGAAGUGUGCACUUACACGUUUGGUUUGUGUUUGGCAUGUCAUGUUACCCAGAGAACUUUCCAAACAAGUCCCGAAAACCCAUCUGAUGUCUGAAGAGGAGUGGAGGAGACUUGGUGUCCAGCAGAGUCUAGGCUGGGUUCAUUACAUGAUUCAUGAGCCAGAACCACACAUUCUUCUCUUUAGACGACCUCUUCCAAAAGAGCAACAAAAAUGAAGUCUAUCUGGGGAUCGUCAAUUAAAUCUUUUUCAAAUUUAAUGUAUAUGUGUAUAUAAGGUAGUAUUCAGUGAAUACUUGAAAAAAUGUACAAAUUGUUGAUCCAUACCUGUGCAUGAGCUGUAUUCUUCACAGCAACAAAGCUCAGUUAAAUGCAACUGCAAGUAGGUUAUUAUAAGGUGUUUAAGAUAAAAUUUCUUCUAGUCGGUUUUUCUCUUUAAUAUAAGUGCCUGUUUGACUUCGCCUGUUACUUUUUGUUAAAUAAAGUUUGUAUGUUGCAUUUA